GGCUGGUCUGAGUGCAGUGAUGUUUACAACUAAUUGAUGAUCACAACCACUUACAGAUUUCUUCGUUCCUUCUCUACUCUCACUGCUUCAUUUGACUAGCCUAAA
rnacentral:Y_RNA from 1 species